GUCAUCAGCAGGUAAUACUCUAGUCAUCCCUGCCCCUAGCUGUCUUGCACUGGCAGGAAUACAGCAGGGACACUUCCUGCUCUGGGCUGGAGAGAGCCACGGGACGGGGACUAGCGCCGCUGGUGCUCAGCUGAGUGCUGCAGGCUGGGAAGGCAGGCCGUAGCGUGCUCGCCGCCUGGGACCCCACCGUGAAAGCGGGCCCUGCCGUAGUCUAGUUGGCUGAGCUCAGCCCACAGUUUGCCUGUCGGACGGCCACUGGAAAAACAUCCCCUGUGAUCCCCUGUGGCCCACGCCCCUCUGAGCCUCAACAUUCCCAUCUGUGCAAUGCUCCAUGAACUUGUACGCUUCGCUUAGCCAGGCUGGAAAUCCACUGCUGGGUGACCAAAGAAAACAAAUCACUGGAAAUAAUUAUAAAACCUUCUACACACGGGCCUGACAGGAAAACAAAGAAAGCUCUCGAAGGUUAAACAGGAAAGGACCUGAAUAGAUUCCAGGGCAUAAACCCAAGUGAGGAGGAAGGCAUGGGGGGGUAUGGAUCAAGGAUUUAACCAUGAGGGUAGACUGCUUUGUGUUCAAUUCUCCACUUGCCCUUUCCCUAGGGGUCUAACUUCUUCAUUUCUCUGGCCUCAGCUUUUAUAUCUGGAGAGCGAGAAGUCUCAUGCCUGCCUUACAGAACUGUUGCAUCAAAUGCAAGGUGAAAACCAAGGGUGGUGCCUGCUACGUAGAGAUACCAAGGCAAGGAGCAUCCACAACAAGAGCUCUGCCCUCUCGAGGGGGAACCUGCUUGAUUACGGGAAAGUCGGCGCUCCCUGCAUCUUGAAUUUAAAUCUCCACGGAGACUUCCCUGAUUCUAGCCUAGUGAUGGAUGUUUCCCUGCCGCUCAUCCCAGUGAUGUGACUACCACACUAGCUGGGGAUAGAAGAUAAAAGCCAAGCCACUGACCAUGCCACGUGGUGGAGUUGGCCCACUUUGUCUGUUUGACUCCUGCGCCACUGCAGGCAUUAGUUAGCCCAUAGAUGAAAGUUAUAGAGACUUGGGGUUGCCCCAUUUCUUUCCAGGUGAGAGUUUCCUUCUGAUCUUAUCUCUGCCCAGCAAUAAACGGUAGGCCCUGAGACUCUGAUCUUGACUCUGCUCUGACACUUUGAACUAUUGCUGGCCCUCCUCCUGGCAGACCUCAGCUUUCCCUAAUGCACCCGGACGCGCCAACCGGUUCUACUUCCGGAAGUCACCCCUGCCUCCAGCCACUUGGCGAACACCCUUGCCGGGCUGCUCCCCUCUUUCCCCAAGAUGGCAUUGUCAGACUGGGCUUCUUCCCUGCUGAACACCAAGCAGACACUGUUACAGGAGGUUGGAGGAAGGAGAGGUCCCUGAGAGGGUUAUUUAGGGGGAGGCAGGGGGGAGGCAGGGAAGCUUAUGAAGAAGAGUGGGGUCUGAUCCUUGACAUCAGAGUGGUAACAGGACAGUCUGGUAUGUUUGUAUGGCUUAGCUCAGGGGUUGGCAAAUCCUGGCUCUAGAGCCAGAUCCAACCUGACACCUGUUUCUGUAAAUAAAAUUGUGUUG